rnacentral:rRNA from 1 species
UACGUAGGGUCCGAGCGUUGUCCGGAGUUACUGGGCGUAAAGCGCGCGCAGGCGGCUCACCAAGUCUGGCGUGAAAGCCCCCGGCUCAACUGGGGAGGGUCAUUCGAUACUGUUCGACUCGAAGGCAGGAGAGGGAAGUGGAAUUCCCGGUGUAGUGGUGAAAUGCGUAGAUAUCGGGAGGAACACCAGUGGCGAAGGCGACUUCCUGGCCUGUUCUUGACGCUGAGGCGCGAAAGCUAGGGGAGCAAACGGG